rnacentral:rRNA from 1 species
GACGAACGCUGGCGGCGUGCUUAACACAUGCAAGUCGUACGGUAAGGCCCUUUCGGGGGUACACGAGUGGCGAACGGGUGAGUAACACGUGAGUAACCUGCCCACAACUUUGGGAUAACGCUAGGAAACUGGUGCUAAUACUGGAUAUGUGCUCCUGCUGCAUGGUGGGGGUUGGAAAGCUCCGGCGGUUGUGGAUGGACUCGCGGCCUAUCAGCUUGUUGGUUGGGUAGUGGCCUACCAAGGCGGCGACGGGUAGCCGGCCUGGGAGGGUGACCGGCCAAAUUGGGGCUGGGAUACGGCCCAGGCUCCUAAGGGGAGCAGCAGUGGGGAAUAUUGCACAAUGGGCGCGAGCCUGAUGCAGCAACGCCGCGUGCGGGAUGACGGCCUUCGGGUUGUAAACCGCUUUCAGCAGGGACGAAGCUUUUUGUGACGGUACCUGCAGAAGAAGCACCGGCUAACUACGUG